GCUGGCUGCUCCUUUUCUGGGAAUUUGGCACAGGAAAGAGGCUCCCUCUUGCGACUAAAUGCAAUUGCUACAGGCCCAGGGAACCCGGAGGCGGUGCGUUCCUGGGAGUCUGGACUGGCUGCUCAGCACUGGGCAAAUACUGGCCAGAGCUCUCUUCCUCCGCUGCCCUGAGGGCUGGCACGUGCUGGGGGGGUUGUCAAGCCAAGACCAUGUGGGAGAAAGCAGGUCUGAUGUCUCUUCCCAUCUCAUUUUUAUCGGGCUACAUCCUCCCUCCCACCCCCACUCGCGUGGAUGCAGAAAGGAAACGACUGGCUUCCUUUCCUUGGCUGCAGCCAGCUUCCUUCCUUCGACUCCCGCCGCCCGGGGUUGCGUCAGCGGACCCUUCAGACCGUGCCUUGCAAACCACAGCACAGGACAUAAAAGAGCCGGGCUCAGCGAGACGGAAGCGAAAGCCAAAAGCGGGCUGGCAGGCCGCAUUAUCAGUGUCACAUUGAAAACCGACGCCGGGGCAGCCGCACGCCAAACCCGACAGGAACUGCACGCCCCAGCGCGUCUCCCACCCGGGGCUUCGAGACGCAAACAAGUCUCGGCUCAAGAAGCAUCCAAGAAGGACCAAGCUGAGGCUGAGUUACCUCUGACAGGGAUGAGCAACCUGGAGAAAGCCUGGGCAUUUCUUGGGAGCCUGUGAUAGAUUUUGGCAAACGAAGGGUGAGAAAAGCACCCAUGUCUGCAUCCACGCCCCAGACUCCCAUGGCCGUGAUGACGUGCCGGGCCUAAGUGCUUCCCAAGCCAUGUGAGUCCAAGGACCUGGAAGGGACCAGUUGUUGCUGGGUGAAUUAUUCCUCCAGCCUGCAGCUCUCGUGGGGACCCUGAGUGCGGAGCAAGGUCCUUCGUGCCCAAGGGACUGUGCGGGAGAGAGAAGCUGACAAGCCUCGGUCUGAAAUCCGGGAAUCAGGGGGCCCUUUGUCAUGCAGCAUCUCUGGGAGAAAGGGCUUGUUGUUGUUUGGUUCUGUUUCCUGUUAAGCAGCAGCUAAUGGGAUCCAUGUGUCUCUGCUCUCAUUCCUCUCCAAGCUGCUCCUACAGAUCCCAGCAGCGCUGUCAGAGGACCCGCGCCUGCAGCUUAGGACUCUCAGGGAGGCCCUGGCUGCCAGGUGGUCAGACGCCAGGCACGCAGGCCCCAGCAGCGACACCUUCCCAGGCACGCGGGGCGUCGGUGCCCUUCUGUGCGGUGCGAAGGAGUCGGCACGCUGCUACCGCUGCUCCCGGGUGGGACUGGUAGUUCCCGGAGGAGCCCCGCUGUGGCUGGAAGCCACCAACGCCUUGUUCUUUUGAAGUUCCUUUUUCCAUUGCGCUCGUGCAGAGCUGUGCACGCGCCUGGGGUAGGGAGAGAGAGAGCAGGCACUGCGGGAUUUCUAAUGACUGAGGAUG
rnacentral:lncRNA from 1 species